AGUGAACGCUGGCGGUAGGCCUAACACAUGCAAGUCGAACGGCAGCACAGUAAGAGCUUGCUCUUACGGGUGGCGAGUGGCGGACGGGUGAGGAAUACAUCGGAAUCUACUUUUUCGUGGGGGAUAACGUAGGGAAACUUACGCUAAUACCGCAUACGACCUACGGGUGAAAGCAGGGGAUCUUCGGACCUUGCGCGAUUGACUGAGCCGAUGUCGGAUUAGCUAGUUGGCGGGGUAAAGGCCCACCAAGGCGACGAUCCGUAGCUGGUCUGAGAGGAUGAUCAGCCACACUGGAACUGAGUCACGGUCCAGACUCCUACGGGAGGCAGCAGUGGGGAAUAUUGGACAAUGGGCGCAAGCCUGAUCCAGCCAUACCGCGUGGGUGAAGAAGGCCUUCGGGUUGUAAAGCCCUUUUGUUGGGAAAGAAAAGCAGCAGGUUAAUACCCCGCUGUUCUGACGGUACCCAAAGAAUAAGCACCGGCUAACUUCGUG
rnacentral:rRNA from 1 species